rnacentral:snRNA from 1 species
GAUCCCAUCAGAACUCCG